rnacentral:rRNA from 1 species
UACGGGGGGGGCAAGCGUUGUUCGGAAUCACUGGGCUUAAAGGGCGCGUAGGCGGGCCAUCAAGUCAGGGGUGAAAUCCUCCAGCUCAACUGGAGAACAGCUUUUGAUACUGGUGGUCUCGAGUGGGGUAGGGGCAUGUGGAACUUCCGGUGGAGCGGUGAAAUGCGUAGAUAUCGGAAGGAACACCGGUGGCGAAGGCGGCGUCCUGGACCAACACUGACACUGAUGAGCGAAAGCCAGGGGAGCAAACGGG